rnacentral:rRNA from 1 species
AACGAACGCUGGCGGCAUGCCUAACACAUGCAAGUCGAACGAGAUCUUCGGGUCUAGUGGCGCACGGGUGCGUAACGCGUGGGAAUCUGCCCUUUGGUUCGGAAUAACAGUUGGAAACGACUGCUAAUACCGGAUGAUGACGAAAGUCCAAAGAUUUAUCGCCAGAGGAUGAGCCCGCGUAGGAUUAGCUAGUUGGUGUGGUAAAGGCGCACCAAGGCGACGAUCCCUAGCUGGUCUGAGAGGAUGAUCAGCCACACUGGGACUGAGACACGGCCCAGACUCCUACGGGAGGCAGCAGUGGGGAAUAUUGGACAAUGGGCAAAAGCCUGAUCCAGCAAUGCCGCGUGAGUGAUGAAGGCCUUAGGGUUGUAAAGCUCUUUUACCCGGGAUGAUAAUGACAGUACCGGGAGAAUAAGCUCCGGCUAACUCCGUGCCAGCCGCCGCGGUAAAAC